UACGUAGGUGGCAAGCGUUGUCCGGAAUUACUGGGCGUAAAGCGAACGCAGGCGGAUGGUUAAGUAAGAAGUGAAAGGUUGGAGCUCAACUCGAACACUGCUUCUUAUACUGGCCGUCUUGAGUCCCGGAGAGGAAAGCGGAACUGCACGUGUAGCGGUGAAAUGCGUCGAUAUGUGCAGGAACACCAAUGGCGAAGGCAGCUUUCUGGACGAGGACUGACGCUCAUGUUCGAAAGCCAAGGGAGCGAAC
rnacentral:rRNA from 1 species